AUACCAUAACUCAAUCUUCUUGUUAUAUAGAGGCUUGAGGUGUAUGUUGGCUGCGAUGGACUCAUCGUAGAAAUAGGGUAUGCAUCAAGAUGGGAUCUAUCGACCUCGGUAGAUGAGGAGUACUCCUAUAUAGAUCAUGAGACUGAGUCCUAAAGCCCAUGGCUAUGGCAGUAUAAAAGAUAGAAAGAUAUUUCUAUUAGGCUUCAUAUCGGAUUCGAGUCAAUUGAUUCUAGCAUAUGACAAGAAUCAGGUUUGACGAGUUAUCCUUGACCUAUAUCUUAUCAAAACUCAUGAUAGAAGAACCAAAUCAUACGAUAACUGCAUCUAGAGGUUCAUCAUUCAGUUCUGCUGGAUUGCCAUCAUAUACUGUUAGGUGUCAUUGGUAGAUCGUGAGAUUAAUUAAAAAUUAUUUUGAUGAUCAAUCAUUCUUAAUUGGCUAAAUUGGAAAGGUUCCAAUCUAUUGAAAAGAGUUUCAAUGAUAUUGAUGAUGGAGAUCACAAUAUUUCUCACUAUCAGACAAAAUUAGACCUAUGAGGUCACAUAAACAAGGAUUUUGGUAUAGGAUUAUACAAUUGGGCUAAGUGU
rnacentral:lncRNA from 1 species